rnacentral:rRNA from 1 species
CGGACGGGUGAGUAACGCGUAGGUAUCUAUCCUUGGGUGGGGGACAACCGUGGGAAACUACGGCUAAUACCGCAUGAUAACUGAGGUUCAAAGGCGUUUGGGGUGACCUGGACGGUGCCUGGGGAGGAGCCUGCGUACGAUUAGCUAGUUGGUGGGGUAAAGGCCUACCAAGGCUGCGAUCGUUAGCUGGUCUGAGAGGAUGAUCAGCCACAUUGGGACUGAGACACGGCCCAA